rnacentral:rRNA from 1 species
UACGGGAGGCAGCAGUGGGGAAUAUUGCACAAUGGGCGCAAGCCUGAUGCAGCCAUGCCGCGUGUAUGAAAAAGGCCUUCGGGUUGUAAAGUACUUUCAGUCGUGAGGAAGGUGUUAAGGUUAAUAACCUUAGCAAUUGACGUUAGCGACAGAAGAAGCACCGGCUAACUCCGUGCCAGCAGCCGCGGUAAUACGGAGGGUGCGAGCGUUAAUCGGAAUUACUGGGCGUAAAGGGCACGCAGGCGGUUAAUUAAGUUGGAUGUGAAAUCCCCGGGCUUAACCUGGGAAUGGCAUUCAAGACUGGUUAGCUAGAGUCUUGUAGAGGGGGUAGAAUUCCAUGUGUAGCGGUGAAAUGCGUAGAGAUGUGGAGGAAUACCGGUGGGCGAAGGCGGCCCCUGGGACAAAGACUGACGCUCAUGUGCGAAAGCGUGGGGA